AUUGAACGCUGGCGGCAUGCCUUACACAUGCAAGUCGAACGGCAGCACGGGUGCUUGCACCUGGUGGCGAGUGGCGAACGGGUGAGUAAUACAUCGGAACAUGUCCUGUAGUGGGGGAUAGCCCGGCGAAAGCCGGAUUAAUACCGCAUACGAUCUACGGAUGAAAGCGGGGGACCUUCGGGCCUCGCGCUAUAGGGUUGGCCGAUGGCUGAUUAGCUAGUUGGUGGGGUAAAGGCCUACCAAGGCGACGAUCAGUAGCUGGUCUGAGAGGACGACCAGCCACACUGGGACUGAGACACGGCCCAGACUCCUACGGGAGGCAGCAGUGGGGAAUUUUGGACAAUGGGCGAAAGCCUGAUCCAGCAAUGCCGCGUGUGUGAAGAAGGCCUUCGGGUUGUAAAGCACUUUUGUCCGGAGAGAAAUCCUUGGCCCUAAUACGGUCGGGGGAUGACGGUACCGGAAGAAUAAGCACCGGCUAACUACGUG
rnacentral:rRNA from 1 species